UACAGAGGGUGCAAGCGUUGCUCGGAUUUACUGGGCGUAAAGCGUACGCAGACGGCUUGGAAGGUCGGACGUGAAAGCCCCGGGCUCAACCCGGGAAAUGCGUCCGAAACCACCUUGCUCGGAGUAUGGGAGAGGGAAGCGGAAUUCCUGGUGUAGAGGUGAAAUUCGAUAGAUAUCAGGAGGAACAUCUGCGGCGAAGGCGGCUUCCUGGCCCAUUACUGACGUUCAGGUACGAAAGC
rnacentral:rRNA from 1 species